rnacentral:rRNA from 1 species
AUACGGAGGGGGUUAGCGUUGUUCGGAAUUACUGGGCGUAAAGCGUACGUAGGCGGAUUAGUAAGUUAGGGGUGAAAUCCCGAGGCUCAACCUCGGAACUGCCUCUAAAACUGCUAGUCUUGAGUUUGAGAGAGGUGAGUGGAAUUCCUAGUGUAGAGGUGAAAUUCGUAGAUAUUAGGAGGAACACCAGUGGCGAAGGCGGCUCACUGGCUCGAUACUGACGCUGAGGUACGAAAGUGUGGGGAGCAAACAGGAUUAGAAACCCUAGUAGUCC